rnacentral:rRNA from 1 species
UACGUAGGGACCAAGCGUUGUUCGGAUUUACUGGGCGUAAAGAGCGCGCAGGCGGUCGUUCAAGUCGAGUGUGAAAGCCCCCGGCUCAACUGGGGAGGGUCAUUCGAUACUGAUCGACUUGAAGGCAGGAGAGGGAAGCGGAAUUCCCGGUGUAGUGGUGAAAUGCGUAGAUAUCGGGAGGAACACCAGUGGCGAAGGCGGCUUCCUGGCCUGUUCUUGACGCUGAGGCGCGAAAGCUAGGGGAGCAAACGGG